rnacentral:lncRNA from 1 species
UGAGAUUAAGGAGAGAAUGGAGAAUAUACGUGGAUCAUGGAUCAUGGAAUGGAUGGGAGAUACUUGACGUUGGAUCAAGCACUCGCGUCGCAAUAGUGUGAGUUUUAUAUUGAAUAACAACUUGACGUUGGACCAAGUACCUUUUGUUUAUUUUGAAAUUUUUUAUUUAUCGUUUGUUUUUUGUAUCUUUGUAAUUAGCAUGCAUGAUGAAUUAACAAAAGCAUAAACCUAAACUAUUACAUCUUCAUGGGGUGGGGGGACAUUUGACCCACAAUGGG